rnacentral:rRNA from 1 species
UACGGAGGGUGCAAGCGUUAUCCGGAUUCACUGGGUUUAAAGGGUGCGUAGGUGGGUCUGUAAGUCAGUGGUGAAAUCUCCGUGCUUAACAUGGAAACUGCCAUUGAUACUAUAGGUCUUGAAUUUUCUGGAGGUCAGCGGAAUAUGUCAUGUAGCGGUGAAAUGCUUAGAUAUGACAUAGAACACCAACUGCGAAGGCAGCUGGCUACAGGGAUAUUGACACUGAGGCACGAAAGCGUGGGGAUCAAACAGG